rnacentral:rRNA from 1 species
GAUGAACGCUGGCGGCGUGCCUAAUACAUGCAAGUCGAGCGAACAGACGAGGAGCUUGCUCCUCUGACGUUAGCGGCGGACGGGUGAGUAACACGUGGAUAACCUACCUAUAAGACUGGGAUAACUUCGGGAAACCGGAGCUAAUACCGGAUAAUAUAUUGAACCGCAUGGAUCAAUAGUGAAAGACGGUUUUGCUGUCACUUAUAGAUGGAUCCGCGCCGCAUUAGCUAGUUGGUAAGGUAACGGCUUACCAAGGCAACGAUGCGUAGCCGACCUGAGAGGGUGAUCGGCCACACUGGAACUGAGACACGGUCCAGACUCCUACGGGAGGCAGCAGUAGGGAAUCUUCCGCAAUGGGCGAAAGCCUGACGGAGCAACGCCGCGUGAGUGAUGAAGGUCUUCGGAUCGUAAAACUCUGUUAUUAGGGAAGAACAAAUGUGUAAGUAACUAUGCACGUCUUGACGGUACCUAAUCAGAAAGCCACGGCUAACUACGUG